UGGCGAGGCAACGAAUUUAUGGCGAGAAAAGGGAAACAGGAAAUGUGUUAUAACUUCUGCAUACAUUGAUUGAUCUUUAUGAAACUUCAUGAGUGUAUUGGUUGUAAUAGUCCGAUCACAUGGAUGUGACUAUUGUGAGUCAAAGUUAUACUGCCACCAACUGGCAGCAGGAAGCGUGUCACUUUCAAAAUGCUUUGAGAUCACCAUCUUAUUUUUAUCCGAUUUGUUUCAAUCUUCACCACAAUAAUGUCAAAACAUGGCAGAUGUAGACUUUUGAAAAGAAUUGUGAUAUCUCAAACAUAGUUGCCUUGGCAACACGUCAAACUUUUAUAAUAUUCUUGGGCGUUUUUGAAGCCGUUAACAUGCUUCAAAUUGGAUGAAACUCGACACACAUAUAUCAUUAUUGUCAUACAGUAGAUAUGGACAAAGCCUUAGAAACGGGCGGGGAGCAGGGGCUCUGCAGCGCCACCUUUUGACAAAAGUGGGGGGUUUAGUUUAACCUACAGUCACCAAACUCGGUACACUUAUUGUUCUCAUUAAACUGGACAACUUUCUCAUUUACAGUCACUAGCUCUGACCAACAGGAAGUCAGAUAUUUUGGUUUAAAUGUGGAUUUUUCAAACAUUCUUACGCACACACUUAAGCUCUCUUAGACGUAGGGUCUCAGUCCCCCUACCCCUCCCUCUGUGUGUGUGUGUGUGUGUGUGUGUGUGUGUGUGUGUGUGUGUGUGUGAGUGAAAGUGAGAGACAGAGAGACAGAGAGAGUUUUACAGCCUUGAUCAGUUAUUUAACCCUUUUAUUGCAGACUCACUGUGCUUAAGAGUUUAUUCCCAACCCUUACUCAAACACAUCUGAAGCAGCUAAUCAGGCCAGUUCAUUUGUAGGCCACUGACAACAUAUUAUUACAUUAUUAGUUUGAUAAUUAGGGUUAAUUCAAAUAUAAAAACACACUGCAAAAGCAUGCUUUUAGUGCAUAAGAUUGGGGCACAAACAACAGCUCAGGGAGGUCAAAAACAUAAACUGUCAAUUUUUCUUUCAUGUUUUAUUUUCAGACAUCAUGAGAAUUACAUAACGCUU